ensembl:snRNA U6 U6 spliceosomal RNA
GUGUGUCAGCAGUACAGAUACUAAAACUAGAAUAAUUACAGAGAAGAUUAGCAUGGCCUCUGCGAAGGGAGAUGUAACUCUCAAGCCACUCAAAUAGCACUUGUGA